rnacentral:lncRNA from 14 species
UUCAGCCCUGGACCUGCCCACCUGUAGUCCUCUCACUCAGGAUGUCAGAAACACGGGGCUGAAAAAUCCAGUGCUUUAAGCAGCAGUGUCUGCAGCCAAGUCAAGAAAUAGAAGUGCUAAACUAAAGUGACACUGCAGCUUUGACAAGCCAAAACAAGAUCAGAAGAAGAUGGAAAUCCUGUGAAGAAGACUGUACAGGAUAUCUUUCAGUUUCCUUUAGGUGACACAGAGUUUUCAGGCUCUGGAGCUCUCAGAUAUUAACAGCCAAAUCUGAACCAUUUAAAAAGAUCCAGGCAGAAGUGGUAGG